CCUCCCAUCAGUGACACACAGGUUUCUUACAGUCUGCUUGUUUAUGUCUUACCAAUGUUCUUUUUCCCACAGUGUUUUCAGUGCUUGGGACUCUGGGCUGUGAGUGGAGGAUUCAGGGAAUGACACACACUGAGAUCCUCGAGCAUGGUGCUCAGCCACCAGGAAUGACCACCCUCUACUGAAGAGGUUGACUUGGGUGUUGUUUCCUCAGGGAGGGAAGGAGGAGCGUCUCCCACCACAUUUCCCUGCAUGCAAAGAAUGGACUCAGAGUUUUGAGUGUUCAGCCACGUGCUGGAGUCCUUGGGCAGGAGAUUUUGCAAAGUCCCCAACUGCACAAUGCCACUGGAAUUGCAGUGAGAAGGGCUUCCAGGAAUAGGCCAGAACAGACACCAGACACUCCUCUGAAAUCCUCCAUGGCUGCUAGCUCUUUCUUGUUGCAUAGCAGCUGGAAAGAAGAACCUCAGUCCUGAGCUGGGCUGUUAGCUGUGCAUACAGCCAUGAAGGUAGACACUGAAGCCCAAGGAGCUGAAUUGUCCACUGGAAUGGCUGAUGCUCAAAGAUAAAGCCCUCCUGAGAUCCAGCCUAGUGCCAGAAUACACUGCAGGACUGAAAUCCUGAAGCCUGGGGUCAGGCCACCUGUAGUGCCCCAAAGAGCUACUGGGCACAGAAGAACAAUGCUACUUUCUGUCCCCUUUACCCUCUAGGCCAUCUCCAGCAGAAACCAGACAUUGGAACAUCAUCUCUUUUGGGAAUGACCAGAUUACCUCACUCUGCACUGAGCUCCGGUGGCAGCCAAAGUAGCACACAUAUUCAUGGUGUUUUGUUUGGGUCUGACUGAGCCUGCAGACUCCUGAGGGAGAGUCUUGUCUCUUCACGUUUUGUGCCAAGCACACUGUCAGAGAAAAACAGGAAAAAACUGGCCCCAAAAUAGGCUGAAGGUAGUGGAGUUGCAAAGUCUGGCACCUGAGAAAGAUGCAUGGGGACGAUGCAGAAUCCUGGCCUGUUUUUUACUGAUUUCCUAAAAUUCUCACCAUCUUCUCUGUUUGUUUGUUUCACUCUUUAAUUAUGAAAACAAACUGAAAUGAGCAGAUGCCUGGAUCUGCUCCCAGCUUUCUCUUUGCAGAUGCUAUCAAGAGGAGCACUGUGGAAGCCAAGGAAUAAAGAAAGACUGAUGUCCCUGGCGUGCAGUGUGAGCUUGUAUAUCUGUGUUCAGACACAUACCUGAGCAAGGGGAGAAGACAAAAUCACCCAUCCCAUCCCUGAGCUUACAGUAAACUCUAUAGAACUGCACAUGCAUUUUUCUUCUCAUUGUAAUUCCAUGGCACCGGCUGUUUGCUCUGAUUUUGCCUCUUGUUAGUAGCUUGCCUCCUCUGGGAGAUUUUUGUUCAGUCUGAGAUCCCUUAUCACAAACACCUGAAUAAGAUAUUAAUCUUAUUUUGCCUUUCUUGUCUCAAUGAAAUCAGCAAUUCCAAACACAUUCAAAUGUUCCUCAUCUUCACAAUGCCUUUGAGGGAUGUUGGAUGUGUUACAGACAAAUUGAAAAUUAAAAUAAUCAGCAUAUGCAAUGUGCUGGCUUACACAGCCACCUUUUCCACUGAGCCCCAUGUGCAAGGAAAUAAACUCCAGAUAUUGUAAACUGCUGAAAAACAACAGGUAACAUUGUGUUUGCCAAAUUGAAUAUACAAAGAAGUGCUACAUUAAAGCUUUCCCAGUCCAUUUCUGUCCUAUCUGAACUCAAAAUCCAAACAAUUACAUGAAAGAAGUCCCAGCAAAUUUAAUUAAUCCUGAAGAUUUCCUCCCUGACAGUCUGUGGAAAAGCUGCCGCUUGGGCUGUGGUGGGAAAAAUCUUCCUCUAAUCAAAUUGUUACUGAUGGAUGUUUGGGUGAAUGGCCUCUUCCUUUCUUUGUGGGACUGCUCUCAUCUCAUGGCUCACAAGCAGAGAGGAUGGAGAACUGGACUAGCAAGCAACAGAAUUCCUCUGAGUGUUUUUAAUGAGAUGGAGCUGGACCAAACCCCCAGUUUACAGUUUCUAAAGAUUUUUCCAUUGUGGGACUCCAAGCCUGUGAGAAAGGUGCAUUGCCCCAUUUUGCAGCACGGAAAGGCAGCCUGACCUUGUGUCUGAGCAAAGCUAAACAUUUCCAAAGAUUUUGAAUUCUUCCCCUCUCUGAGUCCAAAUACUAUCUCAACCAAGUCUCUUUCUCUAUCAUCAGACAUACUCAUGCAGGUAUGAAAGUGAGUCAUUUCAGCUAC